GAAAAGGUUGCCACUUACCUGCCUCCGUGCAGAAGAUAAACCAUACAAUGGUGAGGAGAACACAGCCUUUCAUUGUUGCAGUUGCUCCCUGCUAAUCCUACAAGGAAAUGUUUUCUCCCCUUCAGCUAUCAAAGUAUUGGUUUUGUUUCCUUGUACUACUUGGACCUUGAACUCAAGGCGAACUGCCGCGGAAGAAUUAGGUGCUCCAUUUAUUUGCAAUAUUAUAUUGACACUAUUGUCAUAGACCAACCUUUGCUCACUUGAAAGCCUUCCAAGCGUGCUGGCUGGGACUGACGGAAGCUGUUGUCCAACUAUCUGGAGAGCACCAGGUUGACAAAGGUUUGAGUUUGCAACCAAAAGAUGGGUCAGGAUAUUCAGGACAAACUGCUGCAGAGAAGUGACUAGUGAGGAUGGGCUGGGAGAGAGAAGGUUAUGUACAAAGAUGACUUUAACACCCUCUCCUACCUGCUGAUUUUGCACUAGAAAUUGCAUCCUCCAUUUUGCUUCAGGUAGAGCAUUCUUCAUUGACACACCUGGACUUUGAAACUUCCUACCAAGAGAGGUUGGUCUUGCUUCCUGCAUUUUGUCCUUCCACUUCAAGGCCAGAAACUUACUAAAGGUUAAGAUCUUUAGAGGCUGGAAUACUAGUUUUAAAUUUAUUGCCUACUGUAACUAUACACAACCCUUUGUGUGUUUGCUCUUAUUUGCUCUUUUCACAUUGUCUUUUUAUUAUGCUUUACCUAUUAUUUAAAAUAUUCCUAAACUGCCCCUCACCCAGUCAAAUUCUGAGGCAGAGAGAAAAAUGGGCAAGAAUAAAAUGAUCCAUAGCUAAUGCAAACAAUAAAACACCCCAAUUCCUAACAGCAAAAUAAGAGGCAGUCACUUGACUUAUAUAGCACACUGAGGUAUGUUUUAUUAUGCUUCUUACUGUUUUGUGGUGGUUUGCUUCAUAUAGUGUUGUAUUUUACUGUUUUGCAAGCAGGUUUGAACUUCAUAGAGAAAGGAGAGGUUUAAAUCUUCUUUCAAUAAAUAAUUCCUAUUGAAGAGCCAUGGUUGCAAUAGUCCUGUCAACAAAAAAUGAUUAUAUAACAAAAAUAUAAAUUUAAAUAAAUCAGAUAUGUGCCUUAAGAUAGUUGCAUCUCAUGUGAUCAAUUAAUUUUAAUAAAACUUUGAUACAACUUGAUCACGGGCAGGCUAUCUUCCCCGAAGAAUCCAGCAGAAAACAGGUGCACCUAAAUCCCACUGUAAUAAGUGCAUUUUUUUCUACUGGAUUUAAUAAGACAGGAAUGUAAGCCUGUCUAAUUAUGCUUUAUGUCGUUGUCCUAGGCUAUAAGAAGCUAGUAAACCACUGUGUGCAGCCUCAGCUCAGAAUGAACUGGAAGACCAGUUCUGAUCAUAGGCUCAGGCUCCUGGGGGCGAGGCACUUUGGGCCCCCUCAAUACAGUGGUACCUCUACUUACGAAUUUAAUGCGUUCUGAACGCACAUUCAUAAGUUGAAAAAAAUUGUAAGUCGAAUCCCAUAGGAAUGCAUUGGGAGAAAAAUUCGUAAGUCGAAGCAACUCUAUCUAAAAAUUCAUAAGUAGAAAAAAUCCUAUCUAAACCGCAUCCAAGAUGGCGGACGGAGCUCCGUUCGUAAGUAGAGUUAUUCGUAAGUAGAGGUACUACUGUAUAUAUAUUUUUGGAGGGACUGCCCCCCCCUUUUACUGUAAAGUUUUAGAAUCUUCUGAUUAUGAAAAAAGCACCUGUUCUCGUUUUCUGAAUGUAUAAUAUACUUUUCAAAUAUGGAUCUUACAGCUAGAUUUGCCAACUUUUAUAACCACAAUGCACCUGCUUAUUGAAAUACGAUCUCCUCCCCUGCCUUUUCAUGAGCCCUGGUGCAUAGCUGCCAAGUUUUCCCUUUUCUCACGAGGAAGCCUAUUCAGCAUAAGGGAAAAUCCCUUUAAAAAAGGGAUAACUUGGCAGCUAUGCCCUGGUGUGUGUGUGUGUGUGUGUGUGUGUGUGUGUGUGUGUGUGUGUAAAAACCCGCUAUAGCCAUUACCUAUCAAAUUUUUCAGUGGUGACGUUUGAGAAGUGUAUUAUUUACAUAGCUGCCAAGUUAUCCCCUUUUUAAAGGGAUUUUCCCUUAUGCUGAAUAGGCUUCCUCGCAAGAAAAGGGAAAACUUGGCAGCUAUGAUUAUUUAACUUUUCUCCAUAUGCAAACUGAGAUGUGGGUGCUGUCUUGUUUGCAUGUACCAAUAAAAGCUCAGGUUCAGAAUAUUAUUAAUACUUUUAUUGUAUCAUUUUUAUUACACUGACUAGAACGCCAGAAGUCAAAUAUUUGGAUGCUGGUAUAAAAAUAAUCCAAACUUUAUACUUCAUACUUUGGAACUACAGUACUGUAUAAUUAGUGAAGGCUGAAAAUAAGAUACACCUUUAAAUAACACUCUGUUGGAAACAUAAAAUAAACAAAACAUCUCAGAAGUUAUGUUCACAGGUAUGCAAAGCUGAAAUCCAGAACAAAGUACAAUAGACAAUUGCAAGUCAAACUGGCGGUACAUUCAGAGUCAUUAUGAAGACACACAAACAAGGCUUUAUCCAUCUCGUCUGAACGACAUGGUAGACAUCACAUACAUUUUUGACUGGUAAAGUUGAGAGUGACUUCCUAUUUUGCAGUCCUGCCAAAUUUAGUUGUUGUUUUAAUGGAAGAAAGCAAAAA